CUAUAUUUGCCAGUGUUUUGUUCCGUGUUCUCCAUUCGGGGAAAGGAUGAAAAGGGAAUCGGGUGCAAGUCCCGGACAGUCCCGCUGCUGUGAACUCAUAUUGAAGGAUUUGCCAACUACCUGUGCCACUGCCGAUAUUUAUACGGUGGGAAGGCGGAAAGUCCGGAGUAAGUCAGAAGACCUGCAAAACACAGUCAAAAAAU
rnacentral:ncRNA from 2 species